ACACUGGUGAUUCAGCAGAAAACUUGUCUUUCAUGCAGGAGACCUGGGUUCGAUUCCCAGCCAAUGCA
rnacentral:tRNA from 1 species